AUUGAACGCUGGCGGCAGGCCUAACACAUGCAAGUCGAGCGAGCGGCGGAUGGGUGUGUAAUGUCUGGGAAACCGCCUGAUGGAGGGGGAUAAAUACUGGAAACGGUAGCUAAUACCGUAUACCACGAGAUGUGCCCAGAUGGGAGUAGCUAGUAGGUGGGGUAAUGGCUCACCUAGGCGACGAACCCUAGCUGGUCUGAGAGGAUGACCAGCCACACUGGAACUGAGACACGUUCGAGACUCCUACGGGAGGCAGCAGUGGGGAAUAUUGCACAAUGGGCGCAAGCCUGAUGCAGCCAUGCCGCGUGUGUGAAGAAGGCCUUCGGGUUGUAAAGCACUUUCAGCGAGGAGGCGUUACUCGCAGAAGAAGCACCGGCUAACUCCGUGCCAGCAGCCGCGGUAAUUC
rnacentral:rRNA from 1 species